rnacentral:rRNA from 1 species
GAUGAACGCUGGCGGCGUGCCUAAUACAUGCAAGUCGAGCGAACGGACGAGAAGCUUGCUUCUCUGAUGUUAGCGGCGGACGGGUGAGUAACACGUGGAUAACCUACCUAUAAGACUGGGAUAACUUCGGGAAACCGGAGCUAAUACCGGAUAAUAUUUUGAACCGCAUGGUUCAAAAGUGAAAGACGGUCUUGCUGUCACUUAUAGAUGGAUCCGCGCUGCAUUAGCUAGUUGGUAAGGUAACGGCUUACCAAGGCAACGAUGCAUAGCCGACCUGAGAGGGUGAUCGGCCACACUGGAACUGAGACACGGUCCAGACUCCUACGGGAGGCAGCAGUAGGAAUCUUCCGCAAUGGGCGAAGGCCUGACGGAGCAACGCCGCGUGAGUGAUGAAGGUCUUCGGAUCGUAAAACUCUGUUAUUAGGGAAGAACAUAUGUGUAAGUAACUGUGCACAUCUUGACGGUACCUAAUCAGAAAGCCACGGCUAACUACGUG